rnacentral:lncRNA from 1 species
UGGGGAGGGGGACACGUGUGUGAGUGCACGCGUGUGUGAGUGCACGUGUGUGUGAGUGCACGUGUGUGUGAGUGUACGUGUGUGUGUGAGGGGACACACGUGUGCACACGUGUGAGUGUACAUGUGUGUGUGUGUGUGGGCGUGUCUACGUGUGUGUGUGUGAGGGGAUGGGGGGGACACGUGUGUGUGGGGGGACACGCGUGUGUGAGUGCACGUGUGUUUGAGUUUACGUGUGUGUGGGGGGGGGCAUGUGUGUG